GAUGAACGCUGGCGGCGUGCCUAAUACAUGCAAGUCGAGCGAACGGACGAGAAGCUUGCUUCUCUGAUGUUAGCGGCGGACGGGUGAGUAACACGUGGAUAACCUACCUAUAAGACUGGGAUAACUUCGGGAAACCGGAGCUAAUACCGGAUAAUAUUUUGAACCGCAUGGUUCAAAAGUGAAAGACGGUCUUGCUGUCACUUAUAGAUGGAUCCGCGCUGCAUUAGCUAGUUGGUAAGGUAACGGCUUACCAAGGCAACGAUGCAUAGCCGACCUGAGAGGGUGAUCGGCCACACUGGAACUGAGACACGGUCCAGACUCCUACGGGAGGCAGCAGUAGGGAAUCUUCCGCAAUGGGCGAAAGCCUGACGGAGCAACGCCGCGUGAGUGAUGAAGGUCUUCGGAUCGUAAAACGCUGUUAUUAGGGAAGAACAUAUGUGUAAGUAACUGUGCACAUCUUGACGGUACCUAAACAGAAAGCCACGGCUAACUACGU
rnacentral:rRNA from 1 species